AGCGAACGCUGGCGGCAGGCCUAACACAUGCAAGUCGAGCGCUCGUAGCAAUACGAGAGCGGCAGACGGGAGAGUAACACGUGGGAACGUACCCUUCAGUUCGGAACAACCCAGGGAAACUUGGGCUAAUACCGAAUACGUCCGUAAGGAGAAAGAUUUAUCGCUGAAGGAUCGGCCCGCGUCUGAUUAGCUAGUUGGUGAGGUAACGGCUCACCAAGGCGACGAUCAGUAGCUGGUCUGAGAGGAUGAUCAGCCUCACUGGGACUGAGACACGGCCCAGACUCCUACGGGAGGCAGCAGUGGGGAAUAUUGGACAAUGGGCGCAAGCCUGAUCCAGCCAUGCCGCGUGGGUGAUGAAGGCCCUAGGGUUGUAAAGCCCUUUCGGCGGGGAAGAUAAUGACGGUACCCGCAGAAGAAGCCCCGGCUAACUUCGUGCCAGCAGCAGCCGCGGUAA
rnacentral:rRNA from 1 species